UAUAAGUACAGUGUAGGUUUCCGUGUUCAGAUAGUUCGUCUUAUUUAAAAAAAUAUUAUUUUUUUUCUUAUUACAUAAUAAAACAUAAAUAAUACUUUAUGUGAGACUAUUCUUUCUAAAUUUUUUAUAAAUUAUUUAAAUAAGACGAAUAAUGAAACGUUGAGUGCGUAAAACCACGACGGCGCGUAUA
rfam:Oryza sativa (indica cultivar-group) chromosome 3, whole genome shotgun sequence.